rnacentral:lncRNA from 1 species
AUAUGAGAUGCCCUACUUUGUUUUCCUAUAGAGGCAUUCUAAAACUUGCCUUUCAAGCCUGAUUUAUGAGAAGGAGAGAGCAAACAAACCCAAGAAAAAUACAAAAAGCUGUAGAGAUUUUAUUGUUUCAUCAAUUUUAAGAGCAAAUGAAUUCAGAGAAAGAAAAAUAGUUGUAAGCCCUGUAGAAACACUGUUCCAUUGAGUUUUAGUUUGAUGAUUUGAAAUUCUCACCUCCUGGUCAAAUUUCUGAUUGUUUGAGCAUUUGAAUGGUUGAAGAAUAGUUAAUGGGGCUAAAUCUUAAAAUCUGUUGGGUUGGUUGUUUACUAGAAGUUGUUUUGGGAUUUAAGUAAUCAUUCUGCUGGUCUGCUCUUUUAUUGCUGAGGUUUUACUGCUGUUGUUGCUCAUUGCUAUUUCACCUUUGACAUUCUUGUUUUCUCAAUUUCCAGUUAUUCACUCACCUCCAAAAUGUAUGAGAAUGAUUGAAUAUGAAGAUUGGUUAGUCAAGUAGAGAUCUGUAUCAUCCAAUGAUUUAUUUAGUAUUUGUUUUGGCAUUUUUGGAAGUUGUUAUGUUUAGUUUGACCUCCUUAUAUCUCUUUAUGUUUGUUUUGAAUAUGGAAUGGUGUAGUAAUAUUAGCUGGUUUUUUCUAUUAUGUUGCUUAUGUCACCAUGAGUGUAGUAUUGGUCUUCGAAGCUAUGUUCGAGUUACAGGUUUGAGUGUAGCUGGUUCGUAAGAUUUGUUUAGAUCUGGUGCAAUAUGUAUGAAAAAAUGAAAGGUGAACUCAUUUUUUUUAGGAAACUAGUUGUUUAUAUGUGUUUUAUUGCCAUGGGAAACAUUACAUUCAACCCAUCUUCGCAUUAUUUUAAUAAUUCUGAUAUGACGUCUACCUU